GGUAGUCCACGCCGUAAACGAUGUCGACUUGGAGGUUGUGCCCUUGAGGCGUGGCUUCCGGAGCUAACGCGUUAAGUCGACCGCCAGGGGAGUACGGCCGCAAGGUUAAAACUCAAAUGAAUUGACGGGGGCCCGCACAAGCGGUGGAGCAUGUGGUUUAAUUCGAUGCAACGCGAAGAACCUUACCUACUCUUGACAUCCAGAGAACUUAGCAGAGAUGCUUUGGUGCCUUCGGGAACUCUGAGACAGGUGCUGCAUGGCUGUCGUCAGCUCGUGUUGUGAAAUGUUGGGUUAAGUCCCGCAACGAGCGCAACCCUUAUCCUUUGUUGCCAGCGGUUAGGCCGGGAACUCAAAGGAGACUGCCAGUGAUAAACUGGAGGAAGGUGGGGAUGACGUCAAGUCAUCAUGGCCCUUACGAGUAGGGCUACACACGUGCUACAAUGGCGCAUACAAAGAGAAGCGACCUCGCGAGAGCAAGCGGACCUCAUAAAGUGCGUCGUAGUCCGGAUUGGAGUCUGCAACUCGACUCCAUGAAGUCGGAAUCGCUAGUAAUCGUAGAUCAGAAUGCUACGGUGAAUACGUUCCCGGGCCUUGUACACACCGCCCGUCACACCAUGGGAGUGGGUUGCAAAAGAAGUAGGUAGCUUAACCUUCGGGAGGGCGCUUACCACUUUGUGAUUCAUGACUGGGGUGAAGUCGUAACAAGGUAACCGUAGGGGAACCUGC
rnacentral:rRNA from 1 species